rnacentral:rRNA from 1 species
GGCAUGCCUUACACAUGCAAGUCGAACGGCAGCACGGGGGCAACCUGGUGGCGAGUGGCGAACGGGUGAGUAAUACAUCGGAACGUGUCCUGUCGUGGGGGAUAACCAGUCGAAAGACUGGCUAAUACCGCAUGAGAUCGAGAGAUGAAAGCAGGGGACCGCAAGGCCUUGCGCGAUUGGAGCGGCCGAUGUCGGAUUAGCUUGUUGGCGGGGUAAAAGCCCACCAAGGCGACGAUCCGUAGCUGGUUUGAGAGAACGACCAGCCACACUGGGACUGAGACACGGCCCAGACUCCUACGGGAGGCAGCAGUGGGGAAUUUUGGACAAUGGGGGCAACCCUGAUCCAGCCAUGCCGCGUGUGUGAAGAAGGCCUUCGGGUUGUAAAGCACUUUCGGACGGAACGAAAUCGCGCGGGUGAAUAUCCCGCGUGGAUGACGGUACUGUAAGAAGAAGCACCGGCUAACUACGUGCCAGCAGCCGCGGUAAUACGUAGGGUGCGAGCGUUAAUCGGAAUUACUGGGCGUAAAGCGUGCGCAGGCGGCUUCGCAAGUCAGGCGUGAAAUCCCCGGGCUUAACCUGGGAAUGGCGUCUGAAACUACGGGGCUGGAGUGUGGCAGAGGGAGGUAGAAUUCCACGUGUAGCGGUGAAAUGCG